UACGGAGGGUGCAAGCAUUAAUCGGAUUUAUUGGGCGUAAAGGGCGCGUAGGCGGGAAAAUAAGUCAGAUGUGAAAUCCCGGGGCUCAACCCCGGAACAGCAUUUGAAACUGUUUUUCUCGAGGAUGGACGGAGAAAAUGGAAUUCCACAAGUAGCGGUGAAAUGCGUAGAUAUGUGGAAGAACACCAGUGGCGAAGGCGAUUUUCUAGUUUAUACCUGACGCUAAAGCGCGAAAGCUAGGGGAGCAAACAGG
rnacentral:rRNA from 1 species